CUACGGGUCGCUGCAGUGGGGAAUAUUGCACAAUGGAGGAAACUCUGAUGCAGCAACGCCGCGUGGAGGAUGACACUUUUCGGAGCGUAAACUCCUUUUAUAUAGGAAGAAGAUGACGGUACUAUAUGAAUAAGCGCCGGCUAACUCCGUGCCAGCAGCCGCGGUGAAUACGGAGGGCGCAAGCGUUACUCGGAAUCACUGGGCGUAAAGAGCGUGUAGGCGGAUUAAAAAGUCAGAAGUGAAAUCCUAUAGCUUAACUAUAGAACUGCUUCUGAAACUCUUAAUCUAGAAUAUGGGAGAGGUUGAUGGAAUUUCUGGUGUAGGGGUAAAAUCCGUAGAGAUCAGAAGGAAUACCGAUUGCGAAGGCGAUCUACUAGAACAUUAUUGACGCUGAGACGCGAAAGCGUGGGGAGCAAACAGGAUUAGAUACCCUCGUAGUC
rnacentral:rRNA from 1 species